rnacentral:misc_RNA from 1 species
GUUGCACGGACAGAUAAACUCACUCACCAAACAGCAAAAAUCAGAGGAGAAACUUUGUUGGUAGCUGUUUUGGGGGAACUUGGCAUGAGGGUAUACAGUUCUACAGGCAUACGAGCUUACUUUACUUCCUACAGUACACCAGUUUCAGCCGGAAAUUGGAAGAGUGAGUGAAACACUGUUGGAUUUUGGAAGAAGAGGGAGGGAGGGAAGGAGGGGCAAGAGAGUAAAAAGAUGAAUUUGUCGGAAUUUGAAAGAGCGUUUUUGCGAUGCACCAA